rnacentral:rRNA from 1 species
AUACGAAGGGUGCAAGCGUUAAUCGGAAUUACUGGGCGUAAAGCGCGCGUAGGUGGUUUUGUAAGUUGGAGGUGAAAGCCCCGGGAUCAACCUGGGAAUUGCCUCCAAAACUGCAUGACUAGAGUACGGUAGAGGGUAGUGGAAUUUCCUGUGUAGCGGUGAAAUGAGUAGAUAUAGGAAGAAACACCAGUGGCGAAGGGGACUCCCUGGACGAAAACGGACACUGAGAGACGAAAGGUGGGGGAGCAACCAGUAUUAAAUCCCCGGGUUAGCCACGCCGUAAACGAUGUCAACUAGCCGUUGGGAUCCUUGAGAUCGUAGUGGCGCAGCUAUCGCAUUAAGUUGACCGCCUGGGGAGUACGGCGGCAAGGUUAAAACUCAAAUGAAUUGACGGGG